rnacentral:lncRNA from 1 species
UCAUCCCUGAAAAAAAACCAUGAUUUCCCCUCUGUGUGCUAUAGGUGUGACCAACUCCUGUCCCAGCGUCCUUUGGCUGUGGUAAAAUGUCCACGAUCCUGAAAUGGUUUGGACGGGAAGAAAAGGAGAGAGAGGAGAAGGAAGAGGAGAAGAAACAGGAGGCAGAGGAGGAAAAGGACAAGGGAGCUGGGGACGAUGACAACAGGAGCAGCAGCAGCACAGAGAAUCCCCAGGAAGAGGGCCGUGCUGAGGAUGAUGAGAAGGAAGCCCAAGAGUAGAAUUGCUGAGUCCACCGAGGAGGUGGGGAUGCUGAAGGGGGUUGACCACUGGUAGUCAAAUAAAAGCAUUUGGAUCCCAAAGAGAGAUGCUAUU